AUUGAACGCUGGCGGCAUGCCUUACACAUGCAAGUCGAACGGUAACGCGGGGCAACCUGCGACGAGUGGCGAACGGGUGAGUAAUGCAUCGGAACGUGCCCAGUAGUGGGGGAUAGCCCGGCGAAAGCCGGAUUAAUAGCGCAUACGACCUACGGGUGAAAGCGGGGGGCCGUAAGGCCUCGCGCUACUGGAGCGGCCGAUGUCAGAUUAGGUUGUUGGUGGGGUAAAAGCCUACCAAGCCGACGAUCUGUAGCUGGUCUGAGAGGACGACCAGCCACACUGGGACUGAGACACGGCCCAGACUCCUACGGGAGGCAGCAGUGGGGAAUUUUGGACAAUGGGGGCAACCCUGAUCCAGCCAUGCCGCGUGCGGGAAGAAGGCCUUCGGGUUGUAAACCGCUUUUGUCAGGGAAGAAACGCUCUGGGCUAAUACCCCGGGGUAAUGACGGUACCUGAAGAAUAAGCACCGGCUAACUACGUGCCAGCAGCCGCAGUAAUAC
rnacentral:rRNA from 1 species